GCUUAACACAUGCAAGUCGAGGGGCAUCAUGAUCAAAGCUUGCUUUGAUUGAUGGCGACCGGCGCACGGGUGAGUAACGCGUAUCCAACCUACCCCUAACUCUGGAAUAGCCCGCUGAAAGGCGGAUUAAUGCCGGAUGUGGUCCAUCGAGGGCAUCUGACUUGGACUAAAGGCUUACGGUUAGGGAUGGGGAUGCGUCCGAUUAGCUUGUCGGCGGGGUAACGGCCCACCGAGGCUACGAUCGGUAGGGGUUCUGAGAGGAAGGUCCCCCACACUGGUACUGAGACACGGACCAGACUCCUACGGGAGGCAGCAGUGAGGAAUAUUGGUCAAUGGGCGAGAGCCUGAACCAGCCAAGUAGCGUGCAGGAUGACGGCCCUACGGGUUGUAAACUGCUUUUAUGCGGCGAUAAAGGACCUCACGCGUGGGGUUUUG
rnacentral:rRNA from 1 species